CUCCUUUCAGGGUCGCACCUGGAGAGUUUCCAGUACUCCCCCAGUCUCAGGUACAAGAGGGAGAGUAAAGCAGAGGCCUACCCAUUCCAUUCAUAGCUUGGGCAGUGGCUAGUGAGUGGAAUACAAUCUGCUACAAGU